ACGCUCGACACCUACGGGAGCAGCAGUGGGGAAUAUUGGGCAAUGGGCGCAAGCCUGACCCAGCAACGCCGCGUGAAGGAAGAAGGCCCUCGGGUUGUAAACUUCUUUUGACAGGGACGAAACAAAUGACGGUACCUGUCGAAUAAGCCACGGCUAACUACGUGCCAGCAGCCGCGGUAAUCUGAGCGGGCUGGCAAGGC
rnacentral:rRNA from 1 species